UCCACAGAACUUGCCAGAGAUGGCUUUGGUUGCCUUCGGGAACUGUGAGACAGGUGCUGCAUGGCUGUCGUCAGCUCGUGUUGUGAAAUGUUGGGUUAAGUCCCGCAACGAGCGCAACCCUUAUCCUUUGUUGCCAGCGGUCCGGCCGGGAACUCAAAGGAGACUGCCAGUGAUAAACUGGAGGAAGGUGGGGAUGACGUCAAGUCAUCAUGGCCCUUACGACCAGGGCUACACACGUGCUACAAUGGCGCAUACAAAGAGAAGCGACCUCGCGAGAGCAAGCGGACCUCAUAAAGUGCGUCGUAGUCCGGAUUGGAGUCUGCAACUCGACUCCAUGAAGUCGGAAUCGCUAGUAAUCGUGAAUCAGAAUGUCACGGUGAAUACGUUCCCGGGUUUGGUACACACCG
rnacentral:rRNA from 1 species